rnacentral:rRNA from 1 species
GACGAACGCUGGCGGCGUGCUUAACACAUGCAAGUCGAGCGGUAAGGCCCUUUCGGGGGUACGACGAGCGGCGAACGGGUGAGUAACACGUGGGUGACCUGCCCUCCAGCUCUGGGAUAAGCCUGGGAAACCGGGUCUAAUACUGGAUAUGACUCCAUGACGCAUGUUGUGGGGUGGAAAGCCUUGUGCGGCUGAGGAUGGGCCCGCGGCCUAUCAGCUUGUUGGUGGGGUGAUGGCCUACCAAGGCGACGACGGGUAGCCGG